AGAGUUUGAUCAUGGCUCAGAUUGAACGCUGGCGGCAGGCCUAACACAUGCAAGUCGAACGGUAACAGGAAGCAGCUUGCUGCUUUGCUGACGAGUGGCGGACGGGUGAGUAAUGUCUGGGAAACUGCCUGAUGGAGGGGGAUAACUACUGGAAACGGUAGCUAAUACCGCAUAACGUCGCAAGACCAAAGAGGGGGACCUUCGGGCCUCUUGCCAUCAGAUGUGCCCAGAUGGGAUUAGCUUGUUGGUGGGGUAACGGCUCACCAAGGCGACGAUCCCUAGCUGGUCUGAGAGGAUGACCAGCCACACUGGAACUGAGACACGGUCCAGACUCCUACGGGAGGCAGCAGUGGGGAAUAUUGCACAAUGGGCGCAAGCCUGAUGCAGCCAUGCCGCGUGUAUGAAGAAGGCCUUCGGGUUGUAAAGUACUUUCAGCGGGGAGGAAGGUGUUGUGGUUAAUAACCACAGCAAUUGACGUUACCCGCAGAAGAAGCACCGGCUAACUCCGUGCCAGCAGCCGCGGUAAUACGGAGGGUGCAAGCGUUAAUCGGAAUUACUGGGCGUAAAGCGCACGCAGGCGGUCUGUUAAGUCAGAUGUGAAAUCCCCGGGCUCAACCUGGGAACUGCAUCUGAUACUGGCAGGCUUGAGUCUCGUAGAGGGGGGUAGAAUUCCAGGUGUAGCGGUGAAAUGCGUAGAGAUCUGGAGGAAUACCGGUGGCGAAGGCGGCCCCCUGGACGAAGACUGACGCUCAGGUGCGAAAGCGUGGGGAGCAAACAGGAUUAGAUACCCUGGUAGUCCACGCCGUAAACGAUGUCGACUUGGAGGUUGUGCCCUUGAGGCGUGGCUUCCGGAGCUAACGCGUUAAGUCGACCGCCUGGGGAGUACGGCCGCAAGGUUAAAACUCAAAUGAAUUGACGGGGGCCCGCACAAGCGGUGGAGCAUGUGGUUUAAUUCGAUGCAACGCGAAGAACCUUACCUGGUCUUGACAUCCACAGAACUUCAGAGAUGCUUGGUGCCUUCGGGAACUGUGAGACAGGUGCUGCAUGGCUGUCGUCAGCUCGUGUUGUGAAAUGUUGGGUUAAGUCCCGCAACGAGCGCAACCCUUAUCCUUUGUUGCCAGCGGUUAGGCCGGGAACUCAAAGGAGACUGCCAGUGAUAAACUGGAGGAAGGUGGGGAUGACGUCAAGUCAUCAUGGCCCUUACGACCAGGGCUACACACGUGCUACAAUGGCAUAUACAAAGAGAAGCGACCUCGCGAGAGCAAGCGGACCUCAUAAAGUAUGUCGUAGUCCGGAUUGGAGUCUGCAACUCGACUCCAUGAAGUCGGAAUCGCUAGUAAUCGUGGAUCAGAAUGCCACGGUGAAUACGUUCCCGGGCCUUGUACACACCGCCCGUCACACCAUGGGAGUGGGUUGCAAAAGAAGUAGGUAGCUUAACCUUCGGGAGGGCGCUUACCACUUUGUGAUUCAUGACUGGGGUGAAGUCGUAACAAGGUAACCGUAGGGGAACCUGCGGUUGGAUCACCU
rnacentral:rRNA from 1 species